UACAGAGGGGGCAAGCGUUGUCCGGAAUUACUGGGCGUAAAGCGUGCGCAGGCGGCGCGUUAAGACAGGUGUGAAAGCCCCGAGCUUAACUUGGGAAUUGCGCUUGUGACUGGCGUGCUGGAGUGUGGCAGAGGGAGGUGGAAUUCCACGUGUAGCAGUGAAAUGCGUAGAGAUGUGGAGGAACACCGAUGGCGAAGGCAGCCUCCUGGGCCAGCACUGACGCUCAUGCACGAAAGCGUGGGGAGCAAACAGG
rnacentral:rRNA from 1 species